rnacentral:rRNA from 1 species
AUGGGCUCGAGCCCCGCGGCCGUCGAGUCCCCGGAUCCGGGGGCGGACCGCGGCCUCAAGCAGGGUUCUGAUGCCGCGGGGCCGGCGGGAGAUUCCGAUGUGACCAUGGCGGAGGCCUCCGAGGAGGUGGCUGCUGCCGCUGAGGUCAAGGACGAGGGGGCCGCCCUGGCCCGGGAUGCCGCGCUGACGGCGGGUGCUGUCCGAGAUGCGCCAGAUGCUGUCCUGGAAGAGGCAGAUGCGGCGUCGGCGGCGGCGGUUGAUCCGUUGUACGCCACGGAGGCAGCUGGCAUGAUUAUUGCAGAAGGAUGUACCGAUGGUGAUUCCAUCAAUGGGCUUGGGCUUGGAAGCGUUAGCAGCGACAGCAAGGCUGGAGCUUUGACCGGCGAGCCUGAGUGGGAACUGGUCACAGCAGGAGAUGUUGCUGGUGCUUCUGCUACAUCUGAGCAAGCCGAAGCCGAAUCCAGUGAACUCGGAGAAUAUCAUGUCAAUGCAACCCCUGUGGCAGGACAUGAACGACAGGAUAAUGGUGUGGCACAUUUCGAGGAGGAAAUACAGAAUGGCUUGGCAAUUUCUGCUCAGUGCGCCAGAUACUGCCUUCCUCCUCUUGAUAAAGAAGGCUUUCAAGUUUCUGAUCUUGUCUGGGGUAAAGUAAAAGGUCACCCUUGGUGGCCUGGUGAGAUCUUUGAUCCUUCAAAUGCAUCUGAGCUGGCAUUGAAGCACCAGAAAAAGGAUAGUCAUUUGGUUGCAUAUUUUGGUGACAACACUUUUGCAUGGUGCGACGAAUCCCAGUUGAAGCCUUUUGUAACAGACUAUUCACAGAUGGAGAAACAGAGUAGUUUGGAUUCCUUUGUCGGUUCCGUCAAUUAUGCACUUGAAGAACUUUCAAGGCGGAUUUUGUCAGGGAUGAGCUGUGCUUGUCUGCCAGAAGAACUCUCUGACAGUGGAAUGUCAUAUAUGGUUGAGAAUGCUGGGCUCAAGGAUGGAGUUACUUGCUCAACAGUCAACCGGUCUGAGAUCUUGGCAUCUUUUAGUCCAGAAAGCCUUCUUCGUUAUGUUAGGUCGCUAGCUCUGUUCCCUGGCCAAGGUGGUGAUCUCCUAGAGUUAGUGAUAGCUUGUUCUCAACUUACAUCUUUCUAUCGAUCUAAGGGAUGCCCUGAACUUGCAUCCUUCCAGACCGGUAGUGCAUGGGUCGAGGAUGAUACGGAUACUUCUCCCAUUGAGGAUGUAGUGGUUGAGGAAGUUGUUGUCAUUGAAGUGCCUCCUCCAGAGGUCAAGCCCAAAAGAGGCAGGGGGAGACCUCGUAAACACAAGCCUGAGGAUAAACUGGAGUUGCCAGGGAAACAGAAGCCUGCAGUUGCAGCGGAAAGACAAAUGAUCAAGGACUUUGAUGAUAAGAAAAGAAGUCUUGACUCGUUUGAAGAUUUGGAUGCAAAGUCACCAACUGGUGGUUCUUUCAAGAUUGGAGAGUGCAUUAGGCGAGCUGCAAGCCAGCUGACCGGGCCUUCGUCCACUGUAAAGUCCCAGAAUGAAAAUACCGCUGAAGCAGAGAAUGCAGAAUUUGAUGUCUCUAGUGAUGAUGCUGCGAAUGAACUUACUGUGGAAAAGUGCGCAAAGAGGAGACGCUUGCAUAGCCAUCACCUUGCGGACCCCAAGGAGUUAUUCUCUCAGCUUUGCUCGGUUGCCAUAGAGCCAACUGAUGGAUACAACUUCUCGGCACUGACAAUCAGUUACUUCAGUGAUUUCAGGAAUUAUGUUGUCUCUGUUGCUACUGAAGCAAGCAUUAUCGAAAAAAGUACAUCAAAGAAGAGGAGAAAGAAGAGGGUUUUGCCUUCUCCUGAGCUAGAGACUACUGAUCAUAUGCAGGACUCCUACUGGUCUGGUUUGAGUUUGCUUAAUCACCCGAUUCAUAGCCUCAAAAGAGCUUCUACCAACACGAGGCCAAGGCGUAGGCGCAAGUCAUCACAUGAAACAGAUUUGUCCUCUGUACAGGAGCAGCAGGUGGCUCCUAAGAAAGAGAUACAAGUGGCUCCUAAGAAACAGAUACAAGUGGCUCCUAAGAAGCAGAUACAAGUGAUAGAAAGAUCAAUUAUCCAUGUUGACGAAAAGAUAGUCGACGAGUGGAAGCCCACUGCACUUGUUUUAAGCUUUGGCAGGUCAACUGAUCUUCUCUCAGAAACUGAUCUGAUCAAGAAAUUCGGUCGCUAUGGCCCACUAAAAGAAUCUGAAACUGAAGUACAAAAGAGCACAAAUACCAUUAAAAUUGUGUUCAAGAAACGUGCUGAUGCUGAAAAGGCUUUCAGCGCUGCUGGGAAGUAUGGCACUGUUGGUCCCUCGCUUCGUAGUUUUCGUCUAAUGAAUAUGCCGUUUUCUCUAGGAGAGUCAGAACCGAAUAAAUCUGAGGCAUGCCCUGGAGAUCAUGGCCCAAAGCUUCCUGGUCCAAGUGAGCCCAAAGCUUCACUGGAUGCUGUGAAAGAUAACCAGGUCGACAAAACUGAGAAAGCUGAAGCUGUACAGCCAUCAUCAGGUGAACAAGUUGAGACUGUCAAGAAAACAUGCCAAGCUGAACCUGUAAAGCAAUCAUCAGGUGCACAAGCUGACGCUGUUAAGAAAGCAGGAAAAAUUGCUGCUGAGCUAACUGGGCCAUCUGACCCAAUUGCAACAGCUGAUGUAGCUGAGCAAACAAUGGAAAAUCAAGCUCCAAAAGAUGCAGUUGAAAUUCCUUGUGAUGUGAAGCUGGAGGAUGAAGCAUUGACUGAAGAAUCUGUAGAUCAAGUUGUAACUGAGCAAGUCAAAGUUCCAUCAGAUGCUGUACCUGACACUUCAAAAGUUCAACCAGAAACACCAGUCGAACACGUGGGUACAGAAGCAGAAGCGGACACUGCUCAAGACCUAACUGAAGUGUCAGUUCAAGAAGCUGGGUUGAAAAAGCAAAUCCUGGAACCCAAAACUGCUGAAAUAGAACCGGAACAAGUCAGCUGUCCCAAGCAAACUGUUCAAGUGGAAGAUGUAAUCGAUGCAUCAGGUGGACACACCAAUGUGGACAGAAAAACUGCAGAAGAGAUAACUAUGACUGAAGUCGUGUUUGAGGGAGCUGUGGAGUCAGAAGCUGUAGCACCAGUUGAGGAAACUGUAGAAGAUAAAGCUACUGCAGGGACACUUGGGGAGGCACCAGGUGAUGAAAUGGAAAACACGGAUGCAGCUGAAUCACUGGGUGGGGAGGUUGGUGUAGGUGAAGCCACAGGCGAUUCACCAGAUGAGAGAGUUGCUGUUGAAGCACUUGCCGGUAUGUCCACCCAAGGUGAAACGGCUGCUGAAGCAGCUGAUGCUGAAAUUGCAACAACUGGGAAAACAGCAGAGGGUGUCGGUGUUAAAACUCGAGGUAAGAAGGCUACAGCAGCCAAGAAACCUGUAGAGAGUGCCACGGCUGAAGCACCAGGUAAGAAGGCUACAAAAGCCAAGAAACCAGUGGAGGAUGCCACAGUCGAAGCGCGGGAUGAGAAAGCUGCAACAGCCAAGAAAAGCGCAGAGGGUGCCACAGUCGAAGCGCCGGAUGAGAAAGCUAUGACAGCCAAGGAGGACGACAUGGCAUAG